UGCCGUUAGCCGGUAUAAACGAACGUUUAGCGAGCAUGGGCACUAUAAUUAACGGAUCGCAUAGUCGAUGCUCGAUCGACUUCUGCUUCCUGUCCGGCGCAGGAAGCGUGCUCACGUUGGACGCUUCAAUGGACAAAUUAGCCGAAAAUCUACCGUAACGGUCGGCAACGUCAAAGGUGCAACAACGGUUCACCAUUGCAACAAGUUUUCGUAUGUUUGAGAACACGUUUGAGAUCGUUAGCUUCGUGUCUAGUUGUUGCUGUUGGUGUAUCAGUUUACGAGAAGACGGUAUUCUAUUAAGAGGGGCCAAGUAGUGUCACGUCGACGCACGCAUCCCUCGAGGAUCAACCCUUUGCCUGCGUCCCUGCAUAAUCCACGACCCCGUCGAGACCGGGCACGAAAUUAGAGGCCCCUUUCCAAUCCGACUUCGUCCUCCGGCAUUGUGAGAGAUGAUUUAAGGCAAAAUUAUCAGGAGGAAUCCAAUAACGAGUACCACGGCGAAUAUGUAUCGAGGGUGAAUUAAGAUCGCUGAUCUCAAGUAGAAUUCCAAAUAAGAACACACCGAUUCGAACAUAUAUCUUAAGCUAUUUUUCCUUUCUCUCUUUUUUUUUUCUUUUUUUUUUUUAAGAAGAACGAGAAAUAAAAGGCAAAGAAAAUUCGAUUAUUUUUCACGAUGACGCUGAUUUUACUGAAAUAAAAACUAACCGUUAUACCGGUUGCUUUUCACGAAAAAGCUCUCAAUCUUCUCUCGAUAAUAUGGAUAUUCGUGUAUCGAGGAGGAGUGGACCGAAGUUGUUAUGACAGUCAGCGGUGGGUCAUCCAUCACUGAGAUUUCGUCCCGACGGACCAACCGCGGACCAACUUAUCCAAUAUUUAAGGUUUUGUCCCUCUCGGCUGAGAGCUGAUAUAUCACUCGCAUUAAUAUAUAUUUGCGGGGGAGAUAACUCCAGUUAGAAUAAGGCGCCAGCCACGGGACGAGUCAACGAGGACGAGGACGAAGAGGAAAGAUGAGGAUACGAAUAAAUAUCCGAGGAGAUCGACCAUUUCUUCGCUCGGCAACGAAACGACACCGUUCAUCAUAACGGCGAUGAUGGAAGGAGAAAGAAGAUCGAGGGAUGAGUAAGAGGAAAAGAGAAAGGAUGAGGUGGAAUGAGAGAUAAAGAGAGAAACGGAGGAGAUAAGAAGACUCGACAAUCCGUGCAACUUUCAAGGUGGUAAUCAGAAUUCCCUGUCUUUGUCCUCGAAUCCGAAGGAAGUCAAGAAGGAAGGGCAAAAAGGGCAUCUCCUGUCUCUUUCCUUUCUCAUCUUCUUUUUCUUCUUCUUCUUCUUCUUUUUCUUCUUUACAGGAUGAAACCCAUUCCAAAUCGGACGCGAACAUAGACAAAUAACGCUGAGCCAGGUCGAAGCGGAGAUCGAGAAGGCCACGAAUGCACAUUAAUCUGUAUCAGCCGACGCCAUCAAUAUUUAAUCCUAAUCUCGUGAAUUGCCAGUACCGUCUAUGGGUCCUAUCGUUUCGUCUUCUCCUGAUUCAGAGACUGAGAUAGAUAGAUAGAUAGAUAGAUAGAUAGAUAGAUAGAUAGAUGGUAGACGCUAUGGGACAAGUUGAGAAAUUAUAAUGAUUAUAACAGGGGUUUACUGUAAUAAUUUUAA